CUACGGGUUGCAGCAGUAGGGAAUUUUCCACAAUGGGCGAAAGCCUGAUGGAGCAACGCCGCGUGCAGGAUGAAUGCCUUAGGGUUGUAAACUGCUUUUAUAUGUGACGAUUAUGACGGUAGCAUAUGAAUAAGGAUCGGCUAACUCCGUGCCAGCAGCCGCGGUCAUACGGAGGAUCCAAGCGUUAUCCGGAAUUACUGGGCGUAAAGAGUUGCGUAGGUGGCAUGGUAAGUAGAUAGUGAAAGCGUGUGGCUCAACCAUACUUACAUUAUCUAAACUGCUAAGCUAGAAGACGAGAGAGGUAGAUGGAAUUCCCAGUGUAGGAGUGAAAUCCGUAGAUAUUGGGAGGAACACCGAUGGCGUAGGCAGUCUACUGGCUCGUUCUUGACACUAAGGCACGAAAGCGUGGGGAGCAAACGGGAUUAGAUACCCGCGUAGUC
rnacentral:rRNA from 1 species